rnacentral:lncRNA from 1 species
GUAAUUUUUACAUUGAUAUUGCCAACUUGCUUUUCAAAGGUUGCACUGAUGUAAUUAGUAGUGGAAUGCCAGUUAGAAAUUAAUGAAUGUCAGUUGCAUUUCUCCCAGCAGCAAACAGUGUGCUUGCUCUUCUUCACCCUCACCAACGGCCUCCAUCUGCAGGGCCCCCAUCUGCAGGGAACCCCACUGCCCGCCUCGCAAGCUUCUUCCCAGCUCAGGAUGCUGUCCUCGCGCCCCGUGUGACCGCGCGUGUCGUCGUGGGACCUCCACCCAUCCUCAGCCCCGCCUGACCCGCUUCCGGGCACCCACAGAGCCCUUCACUGGGCGCCAAGGUCCUGCUCUCGGUGCCUGGAAGUUCAGGUUACCGGACCCGCAGCGCAUGACCAGCUUGUCACGGCGAAGGAGCCAAGCGGCCUUGUCACCUGACUGACGCACAGGUGGGAGGACCGGGUCCCAGGGAGGAGGGCGAAUCCCCAAAGCAGAGCUUCUCAGCAGUCACAGGGAUUUCUUCACCUGUGUCUCUAAAGGACAGCAGCUGCCGUGUGAGCAGUGGCCGCUGAAUCGGCCGGAGCCUUCUGCACCAGGGACACGUGUUAUCGCCUCGUUCCCUUCAUAGCCCUGUGAAGCCGGGUAGAUUUUUCAUUUCCCAAAUACAGUGUCCUGGGAGGGAAGAGAGGAGGACACUUUGGUACCAGGGAUGCUGGACCGUUACUACAUCGAGCUGAUUAUGUCAGAAUUUACCAGUGUUUGAGCCAGACAUGGUAGCGCACAGCUGAGGCAGGAGGAUCUCUAUGAGUUUGAGGGCAGCCUGAACUGCAUAGUGAGAUCCUGUCUCCAAAAACCAAAAGACAAUAAAAAAGGAAGAGCCUGCUGCUCCUCCCUAGAAGAGAUCAUGUGGAUCACAGGGGUUAUUGUGAUUCAACCUAUUACUGUAGUUGAAACAGUAAUAAGUAAGUUUAUUUGCUUUGGUUCUCUGGAAGGCUGAGGCAUGAGCAUCUCAAGUUUGAGCCCAGCCUGGGCAAUUUAGUGACGUAGUGAGACCCUCCUCCCACUCCCCCUAAAAGAC